GAAGUGUAGUUCCGGUGUCACGCUGGACCGCAGGCUGUAUAUCUAGUUGCUGGAGUAUCCAGAGGAUGGUGCCCAGGAACGUGGAAUUAUCCUGUCAGCUCGUCCACAUCUCCAAGUGGAUUCGGUUGGGUCCGGGUCCAUAUCCAUAUUUGCAGGAAAGGCUCAUGCACCUCACCCUAAGGAUACUAGUGGUGAUGGGUUUUACAGGCUCCUGCUGCCCUGCCCUUAACCUGAGGUCCCAGGGAGGAUCAGGGGAAGGGGUAGGGAAAUCCUCAGCCCUGCUCUCAGGUCCAGUGAUCCUAAUGCUGGUCCCUCCUCAUGAGCAGGGGAAGGAGUUCUCCGUGGUGGUCCAGCCUUGACCCUGUGCUCAAACAAUUUCACUCUCCUUGGCUUGAAUCCUAGGUUCAGCUUUGGCCACAAGCUCUACCCAGCCAGCAUCAGCACAUCACAGCUGUGGGCUCCUCCCCUGCUGUGGUUGCUGGCCUCCAGAAUCGCCCAUAUAAGUCUUGUCUCCUGGUAGUCACAUCUUUGUGUAGUACUCCCAAAUUGAGUAGGGCUGAUUUGUGUAACAAAAAUAAUAUUGUGGAUAUACUGGUGUAUGAAUUCUGAAGCUAACUCAUGAAACACAUUGACUGAAGCUUCAGCCUUGCUGUCUUGGAUCACUUACUCUGGGGGAAGCCAACACCACAUCUUAAGUGUACCUGAAUAAUCUGUGGACAGUUCCACGUGGCAAGAAACUUUGGCCACCUGCCUACAGCGAGCACCAACUUGCCAGCCACGAAAGGAUUGAUCUUGAUUGUGGAACCCCCCAGCCCUCAGUGACAUUUUAACUGCAAACGUAUGUGAGAUCUCAAGCCAGAGCAACAGAAGAAUAGCCAACAUGAGGAAAGCCAGCCCCUGUGUCAUGAAAACCCUCAAGAAGCCCUACUGAGAAGUCCACACAGUGAAGAACUGAGGCUCCCUGCCAACAGCCAGCAUGCACUUGCCAACCAUUAGUGAACCAUCUUGGAAGUGAGUCCUCCAGCCCCCGUCAAGCCUUCAGAAAAUCAACUCCUUUGCUUGGGACCACCCAGAACUGGAAGGAGGGAGCCUUCAGGAAGACCUGGCUACUGCCCUUGACCCCUGGUCUCUUCUUCUGAUGGCGGUGGGGGUGAGCUAUGAGGGGAGGAGUCUACAGAGGUGCAUGACUGCCCCAACCUCCCUAUCCUGGGUAGAAAUGUGGCCACCCUGUGGGUCUGCCACACACAUGAAACGAGUCCUUAAGCAUCAGGGCCAGGGCAUGAUGGUGAGAGGCAGGCAGGUCUCCAGGCAGUUCCUGCGUUCACCUGCCUUUCCACGAGUCCUAUGGGCCUGAACACUUUAGGCUAGGAGAACCCAGGCAGCACCUCCAACACUUCCUGAAAAUGGCCUUAGCCAGAUCCAUGAAAUUUAUCCGGUAUAUCUACUGUUUUCCACUUUGCAAGGUGACAGUUUUGCUACAUGUUCUACUACUACAUAAUAAAGAUGCCUUUUCCUCCAGCUUCCAAUUACACAUUCUUUGCUUUGCUUCAAGUCCUGAGCUGUCGCAUCUACAAGGUCCAUCACACUUCUGCCUACUGCUCAAUCCCCAACUCAAUAUCAUGUGUCUUCUCUCUCCUGUGUUAAGGGAGCACUCUGGGUCAGCCUGG